GCAAGUCGAGCGGACAGAUGGGAGCUUGCUCCCUGAUGUUAGCGGCGGACGGGUGAGUAACACGUGGGUAACCUGCCUGUAAGACUGGGAUAACUCCGGGAAACCGGGGCUAAUACCGGAUGGUUGUCUGAACCGCAUGGUUCAGACAUAAAAGGUGGCUUCGGCUACCACUUACAGAUGGACCCGCGGCGCAUUAGCUAGUUGGUGAGGUAACGGCUCACCAAGGCGACGAUGCGUAGCCGACCUGAGAGGGUGAUCGGCCACACUGGGACUGAGACACGGCCCAGACUCCUACGGGAGGCAGCAGUAGGGAAUCUUCCGCAAUGGACGAAAGUCUGACGGAGCAACGCCGCGUGAGUGAUGAAGGUUUUCGGAUCGUAAAGCUCUGUUGUUAGGGAAGAACAAGUGCCGUUCAAAUAGGGCGGCACCUUGACGGUACCUAACCAGAAAGCCACGGCUAACUACGUGCCAGCAGCCGCGGUAAUACGUAGGUGGCAAGCGUUGUCCGGAAUUAUUGGGCGUAAAGGGCUCGCAGGCGGUUUCUUAAGUCUGAUGUGAAAGCCCCCGGCUCAACCGGGGAGGGUCAUUGGAAACUGGGGAACUUGAGUGCAGAAGAGGAGAGUGGAAUUCCACGUGUAGCGGUGAAAUGCGUAGAGAUGUGGAGGAACACCAGUGGCGAAGGCGACUCUCUGGUCUGUAACUGACGCUGAGGAGCGAAAGCGUGGGGAGCGAACAGGAUUAGAUACGCUGGUAGUCCACGCCGUAAACGAUGAGUGCUAACUGUUAGGAGGUUUCCGCCCCUUAGUGCUGCAGCUAACGCA
rnacentral:rRNA from 1 species